rnacentral:rRNA from 1 species
UCGAACGGUUAAAGCAUCUUUGGAUGUGCAUAAAGUGGCGAACGGCUGAGUAACACGUGGGCAACCUGCCCCUCGCAUCGGGACAGCCUCGGGAAACCGUGGUUAAUACCGGAUACUCCGCCACCCCCGCAUGGGGGAGGCGGGAAAGCCCAGACGGCGAGGGAUGGGCCCGCGGCCUGUUAGCUUGUUGGUGGGGCAGUGGCCCACCAAGGCGAUGAUGGGUAGCCGGGUUGAGAGACCGACCGGCCAGAUUGGGACUGAGACACGGCCCAGACUCCUACGGGAGGCAGCAGUGGGGAAUCUUGCACAAUGGGCGAAAGCCUGAUGCAGCGACGCCGCGUGCGGGACGAAGGCCUUCGGGUCGUAAACCGCUUUCAGCAGGGACGAGGCCGCAAGGUGACGGUACCUGCAGAAGAAGCCCCGGCUAACUACGUGCCAGCAGCCGCGGUAAUACGUAGGGGGCGAGCGUUAUCCGGAUUCAUUGGGCGUAAAGCGCGCGUAGGCGGCCUGCUAGGUCGGGAGUCAAAUCCGGGGGCUCAACCCCCGUCCGCUCCCGAUACCGGCUGGCUUGAGUCUGGUAGGGGAAGGUGGAAUUCCCAGUGUAGCGGUGGAAUGCGCAGAUAUCAGGAGGAACACCGGUGGCGAAGGCGGGUCUCUGGGCCGUGUACUGACGCUGAGGAGCGAAAGCGUGGGGAGCGAACAGGAUU